GACGAACGCUGGCGGCGUGCCUAAUACAUGCAAGUUGAGCGAUGAAGAUUGGUGCUUGCACCAAUUUGAAGAGCAGCGAACGGGUGAGUAACGCGUGGGGAAUCUGCCUUUGAGCGGGGGACAACAUUUGGAAACGAAUGCUAAUACCGCAUAACAACUUAAAACAUAAGUUUUAAGUUUGAAAGAUGCAAUUGCAUCACUCAAAGAUGAUCCCGCGUUGUAUUAGCUAGUUGGUGAGGUAAAGGCUCACCAAGGCGAUGAUACAUAGCCGACCUGAGAGGGUGAUCGGCCACAUUGGGACUGAGACACGGCCCAAACUCCUACGGGAGGCAGCAGUAGGGAAUCUUCGGCAAUGGACGAAAGUCUGACCGAGCAACGCCGCGUGAGUGAAGAAGGUUUUCGGAUCGUAAAACUCUGUUGGUAGAGAAGAACGUUGGUGAGAGUGGAAAGCUCAUCAAGUGACGGUAACUACCCAGAAAGGGACGGCUAACUACGUG
rnacentral:rRNA from 1 species